UACAGAGGCCUCGAGCGUUGUUCGGAAUUACUGGGCGUAAAGCGAAUGUAGGUGGUGACGUAAGUCAGAUGUGAAAGCCCAGGGCUUAACCCUGGAAAUGCAUUUGAUACUGCGUUGCUGGAGUAUGAGAGAGGAAAGGGGAAUUCCUAGUGUAGGAGUGAAAUCCGUAGAUAUUAGGAGGAAUACCGAUGGCGAAGGCACCUUUCUGGUUCAUUACUGACACUGAGAUUCGACAGCGUGGGGAGCAAACAGG
rnacentral:rRNA from 1 species